rnacentral:rRNA from 1 species
CCUACGGGGAGCAGCAGUCGAGAAUCAUUCACAAUGGGGGAAACCCUGAUGGUGCGACGCCGCGUGGGGGAAUGAAGGUCUUCGGAUUGUAAACCCCUGUCAUGUGGGAGCAAAUUAAAAAGAUAGUACCACAAGAGGAAGAGACGGCUAACUCUGUGCCAGCAGCCGCGGUAAUACAGAGGUCUCAAGCGUUGUUCGGAAUCACUGGGCGUAAAGCGUGCGUAGGCUGUUUCGUAAGUCGUGUGUGAAAGGCGCGGGCUCAACCCGCGGACGGCACAUGAUACUGCGAGACUAGAGUAAUGGAGGGGGAACCGGAAUUCUCGGUGUAGCAGUGAAAUGCGGAGAUAUCGAGAGGAACACUCGUGGCGAAGGCGGGUUCCUGGACAUUAACUGACGCUGAGGCACGAAGGCCAGGUGAGCGAAAGGGAUUAGAUACCCCAGUAGUC